UACAAAUUAAACGUGUCGGGGACCGGUCGAAACGUUAGACGAACAGACAGAAGCAAAGUUCCAUGGAUAAGCAUAAUGAAAGGAAAAGUGCAGUCAAGUACAAAUGACGUGACACGUUCUAUUAACAUUUUACCUCCCCAAGUAUGUAACCGAGUCGAAUGAGUGUCUUUAGCUAGCGAGCUAACUAGCAACUCACACAAGACAUUUUUGUGCCGUUUUGAACCGAAUUUUCCUGUUAUAGAAUACCCUUACAAUUCUUCUCUGUUGAUGGCGACAGCCGAAGAACCUCGGUGGACAACAACCAUCAUCAUCAGCACGUCACUGCAGAGUCAUGAAACAGUCAGGAUGCUAACGGCUCAACAACACAGAAUCCGACUGUCUUACGGCGUGGAGCGUGGAUCCUUCAUUUUUCCUCUGGCUGGUGUUGCAUUCAUGCUGGUGGAGCCUCAGGAUUUGCCCCCAAACUUGGAAGAGUCUGGACUUAUUGAACAGAUAAAAAAGUUCUCGGAGGUCCAUCGGAAUUGCUUUGUGCUGCUGUAUGCUCCUUUCAAUGGCACAAAAGAAGUGGAAACACUGUCUCUCAUUCAGCAUAGAUUCUUUGGCAGCACCCUCAGGAUCUUGCCAGUGCGAAACAACACAGAGAUUCUCAAAGGAAUGUUGACCAUAGCAAAGGUGUACAUAAUGAGGUGGCAAUGAAGAAAGUCUUCCAUAGGAAGUCCCGCUCUCCUCUUCUUUAAACACACCAUCGGAGGCCUUUUCUUCCCGGCAUCAUGAAUAAUUUGUGGCCGUGCCUUGUUGCACGCUGACAGCCGUGCAGCUGCUUUGCAGUGUUUUUGUCACAUCAGACCGGUUCAUGUGUGCAGGUCCAACGAUGAGGCAGAGAUGUGGGCCAGAUCCAGGCGUGAUUGAUUGUGGACUUCUUCCAUGGAUGCACACUGGAACGUGGCCCGAGGCGGCGCGGGAAUGUGGUCACGUUUAAUGGAG